GGAUAUGAGGGCAAUCUGGCUGCAAUAUCCAUUACCCACUGACCAUAGAAUCGUUGUGGCUGAUCUGGCUGAUGAGGUAGGUGCUCCCUUCUUCCCUCAUCACCCUGUGUGCAUCCCUCGCAAAGCUGCACGUUUCAUCAAAAGGGCUAACCUUUCCCAAUAGAGGAGGACUAUUCUUAGUACUUAGUAGCAGUACUCCUCUGAUAGAACCUUCUCAAAGCUCUCAUGGUCCAAAAGGUGGAAGCAAUUCAUCUUUUCAACCAGCAAAUGAAUAUAUAGAAUUUGGUACAAGCCAAGAAUGGGAUAU
rnacentral:snRNA from 1 species